rnacentral:rRNA from 1 species
UACGUAGGGGGCAAGCGUUGGUCCGGAAUCAUUGGGCGUAAGAGCGUGUAGGCGGUCCGGUAAGUCCGCUGUGAAAGUCGGGGGCUCAACCCUCGAAUGCCGGUGGAUACUGUCGGGCUAGAGUGCGGAAGAGGCGAGUGGAAUUCCUGGUGUAGCGGUGAAAUGCGCAGAUAUCAGGAGGAACACCUAUUGCGAAGGCAGCUCGCUGGGACGUACUGACGCUGAGACGCGAAAGCGUGGGGAGCAAACAGG